rnacentral:lncRNA from 1 species
AAAUGCUUGUUGCUAUUGUUGUUGUUGUGGUAGUUGUUGUUGUUUGCUAUCCUAAUGCCAUGUUCUAUGUAAUUCCAUGUUGUCAAUGAAGUGCAUUCAUUAGAUGCUUUACCCCCUUUUUUCUCUGUGGUUGUACUGUUGUGGCGUGGGUGGUCUUAGAUGCCAGUAAGGGACACCAGGUUCCAGUUCGACAUGACCCUUGAUGGGUCAUGGGUGCCCAAAGGUGACCAUUUGUGCUACACCGAGCCUUGUACAACUCAUUUUCCACCAGCUAACAGCAGAUUCAAUGUCUUUUGCUAUAAAUGAGACUUUGGGAUCUUAGUGACUUUCCUAGGAGAUGCACCAAAAUCCCUCGUUGUUUCCCAGACCACGAGUGUUGUUUUGCGUGUCUCACUUAGGACAGUCGUCCUUAAAGAUUCUCCUAUAGUUGCGCCUACUUCAUAUGAUGAUUCAUCCG